rnacentral:lncRNA from 12 species
AUGCAGCACACACACGCACACGCAGUCCCCCCACCGCUGCCCGCUCGCGCCCUCCCCACCUCGGUCCGAGGACACCGCGGGCCGCCGCCGCCCUCGCCCUCGCCCUCGCCCUCGCCCGGGCCGGGUCGCUCCCAGGACUCGCCGCCGCCGCCGCCUCGCCAGCUCCCCGGCGCGAGUUGGCGGAAAAGUUGGGCGGCAGGAGGAGCUGCGGGACGAGCGCGGGGAGGGGGCGCAGGAGGCGACGCGAGCCGGGAGGGGAGACAAAAGGGGGGCGCGGAGCGCCGGGGAGGGGGUCGGGAGGCGCAGGCAGCGGGUAACGACCGGAGGGAGGCGCCGGACUCGCCCGGGCUGCGGCGGGGAAGCACGCAGCCGGGAGGCUCCAGCGCCGGGGGCCGCUCGGACGCCAAGCCCGCCCCGGAUCUGCGGGCGCCGCGGCUCUUACCUCACUCGGCGCUGCGGUUCCGCCGCUGGAGAGUCCGCCGUGGCGCGGGCGGGCGGGCGGGCGCCCGCGGCCCCGGCUCCGGCCCGCCGCCCCCGGGCUCCGCUCGGGUCCUGGCGGAGCCGCGAGAGCCCCGCGGCCGGCGCUCGAGGCUCAGCGCCUCCGGCCCGGGCGGGAACAAUGGAGCCGAGGCUGGUGCCCCGGAGGCGGGGCGGGGGGAGGGCUCCCGUCCGCCGCCCGGGGUCUCCAGACCCUGCGGCCCCCUCUCCAGAACCGGGCGGCGGCGCCUCACGCUUCUCGCAGCCCGGGCUCCAUCGCCCGGCGGGGGCCCCGGCCCCGCGGCGCGCCCGACUGCAGCCCUGGGACUGUGCGCCCCUCGCACCGGCGGAAAGUCCUGGGUUUCCGCGGCUUUUCCAGCUGCGGCGCGCGCUCGCGGCCGGGGAAGGCGAGGUCGCCGCAAUGCGCUAAGCGGAGUCGGGUCGGGUCGGGUCGGGACGCCGCCGCCCGGCUUCGGGCACGGCCCGGGCUCCCCGGCCGCAGCGCGCCGGACCGGACUCCGGGCUCCCGCUCGCCGCCCGCCGCCCGCCGCCCGCCGCCCAGGCCGCCGCACCAGUGCCCGCAGGAGCGCUCCGAGCGCUGUGCGCCGGCGAGGCGCGAGGGCUCGCGCUCACUCCCACCCGCGCUAG